AUAUAUAUAUAUAUAUAUAUAUAUAUAUAUCUGCAGAUCAAUAUAAGACAUAACUUCUGUUGUUACUGCUAUUAUCAAUGUUAUUACUAUUUAAUGAAGUUGUCAAAUAUUACUGUAUUGUAUAUUCAUUUAGAAAUAAUUUUCUAACAAGUUAAAAAUAAUGCUUGCUUAUAUGGGCAUGCAAUUAUGAAUACACUUUACUAGUUAUAGACAUGAUAUAGAAAAUAAUAAUAAUACUAUAAUAAUACUGUUAAAACUAAGUUAACAUGAAAAGUAAUUUAUCGGAUGAUGAUACAAAUGUAAGAGGGGUUAAAAAUAAGUUCGUACUUCUACCCACUCCUUUGAAUGUGUAAAUGUAUAUUGAACUUUACUCCCGUUCUUCUUUUGUUUUAAAUCUAUUUUAUUUGUAUAUAACUUUGUUUAUUCUUUAAUUACACUACGUUCAUUAAAGCCAAACCAAAACCAUCCAAUAUUCAUAAUACCAUCCCAGGAACCUUUCAUCUAAUCUGUGCUUUUCUGCACAGAAGAAUUGACAAAAACUUAAACAUGCACAAAACUGGUAGAAUCAUUUAUCUCAAAAGACCUAAAGCAGUGAAAAAGACACAUGGUGUUAGUACAAAUACACCCCACACAUUUCAGAUUUGUCUUUGAGAAACAAAGCCAAUAAUCAUGUUAAUAUGUGUAUUUAUUAAUGUGGUUCAUGUUCAGUCAGGUUAACAGUCACCUUUGUGGUGACCUAGGUUUUGCCUUUCAGGCUGCGUAACCUGCAAAGUAUAAGGUGAGUCACUUUCUUCAAUGUUGUGAGAAUAGCAGUAGCCUCUUUAUGCUACACAACUUUAUUGACUAUAUGUCACACAAUACAGUUUUGUUUUGAAACUACAAUGUUUUGACUUGUUCUCAUUCAUGUCUCAUAGUGAACUAAACUAAAAACAUGUGAGGAGAUUAUGUCUCAACAUGUCUAAGGCUUUAUGAGCUAUUUGUAUAAUUAACCUCAACAAAAGUUUCUCGGUGAAGAAAAAUGGUUCUUAUUUUACUUGACUGAAAACAUUAAAAUAGUAAUACAAAUGAUGAAUGUGUCUACGUUUCCGUCUGAGCUUUACCUCAAAUGCUGAUAGGUUUACCUCAUUGCAUCGUUUUUUUUGUCUCCUUAUUCCCCGCCCUUUGUUGACCUGUUUUGUUCCCAUAGUGACUCCCGCGUCGGCCUCCUAUUGGUCACCCCGCAGAGGUAGCGGCAGGUGAGGGAGCGCGAGUGCGUGGGUGUGACAGGCACAGGAUUUACGGAACGGGGUGGGGCCGGAGGGCUGCCGCGGAAAGAUAAACACUGUAAUAUAGAAGUGGGUGGGGGUGAACAAUGGAGCAAUAAACCUAUAGAAGGCUGUGAUAAAUGGAGAGAGAAAUGGGCUUAAAAGAGGAGGAGGGCGCCGCGGUGAGACAGCGAGAAGGGGAGGAGGCUCUCCACCGCGGCUCCGCUACUCUCGCUGCUUUCUCAGAAACAGGAACUUGCCCGUUGAACCGUCGUCCCUGUACGUCAGAGGCUCGAUGACGGACCCGUGUAUCUGUUGCUGUGGCAACUCGGCAACGAUAAACAUCCGGAUGACAUCUCUAAGGACGUGUGUGUGGAAAUGAGAACAGUCCCCUGUUCCUGCUGAACUGAGCCAGCCGACGUCACACACUGAUUAUCAGCACAGCAGGCACAGGAGACCGACCCAGCGGGUGGUGAGGAGAAGCGACGACGGAGGUAAUUUUUCACACACAGAGACAGACACAAUCCCACAGCAUCAGACCAACAGGCAGUGAUGCUCUUUUGAAAAAAAAAAGAAAAAAAAACCUAACAGGUGGAAGC